rnacentral:rRNA from 1 species
UACGGGGGGGGCAAGCGUUGUUCGGAAUUACUGGGCGUAAAGUGCGCGUAGGCGGGCCGUUAAGUCGGUCGUGAAAGCCCAGAGCUCAACUGUGGAAUUGCCUGCGAUACUGGCUGUCUGGAGCAUGAGAGAGGCGAGUGGAAUUCCGAGUGUAGAGGUGAAAUGCGUAGAUAUUCGCAGGAACACCAGUGGCGAAGGCGGCUCGCUGGAUCAUUGCUGACGCUGAGACGCGAAAGCGUGGGGAGCUAACAGG